rnacentral:rRNA from 3 species
CGCCGGUAAGGUGAUAUGAACCGUUAUAACCGGCGAUACCCGAAUGGGGAAACCCAGUGUGAUUCGUCACACUAUCAUUAACUGAAUCCAUAGGUUAAUGAGGCGAACCGGGGGAACUGAAACAUCUAAGUACCCCGAGGAAAAGAAAUCAACCGAGAUUCCCCCAGUAGCGGCGAGCGAACGGGGAGGAGCCCAGAGCCUGAAUCAGCAUGUGUGUUAGUGGAAGCGUCUGGAAAGGCGCGCGAUACAGGGUGACAGCCCCGUACACAAAAGCGCAUGUGCUGUGAGCUCGAUGAGUAGGGCGGGACACGUGGUAUCCUGUCUGAAUAUGGGGGGACCAUCCUCCAAGGCUAAAUACUCCUGACUGACCGAUAGUGAACCAGUACCGUGAGGGAAAGGCGAAAAGAACCCCGGCGAGGGGAGUGAAAAAGAACCUGAAACCGU